AUGUAUAUGUAUAUAUAUAUAUAGUUGAUUUUAUUGUACUGAUCCUCUCUGCCUUUCAUUAUUCUAUUCUUUCCAUAAUCUAUCAUUUUUCUCACCCAUUUAUCUAUCCAUUAAUAUAUACCUCCAUUUCUUCUUCCUUGAUAUCAAUUUUCUAUUGCUUUUAAUUUUGCCUAGAUAGACUCUUGGUUUGAUUUGCAAUUAUGAAGACAUGGUGAGAUUGAAGGUAUGGACAAACACUUUAUCCAUUGGAAUCUGUCAUCUAGUCAGCUUUAUGACUAAUACUCUCUAUCUGAGGUUCUGAUCUGUGACCAGGCAGAACUUUAUAAUCUUUGUUCUUACCAUUAGCUGGCUGUGAUUUGAUUGUGAUUGAAGUAUUUGGUUGUGAUUGGUUUGUGAUUCCCUGUUUUUCUUCAUUUAUGAGUUAGAACCUGAUUUAUUGAGCAUUUCACUGUCUAAAUUUCUUUAAGUACUCAAAGAAAUGAAGAGAGAGCCAUUGUGCUGGACAUCUUUCAUAGAAACUUGUAAUCCCAUGAGGGAUGCAAAUUCAGAGAUGCUCAUGUGGCUGCUAGGGAGCCAGAAUACUGAGUGGUCAUAUGACCUUGCCUCUGACUACCUCCUGAGCACCUUCUCUCUAGGCACUAUAGUCAGACCACCUAGCUGCUAAUGUCACAUUACAUGUGCAGCAGCUGCCACACUACAACAUAAACAAGGGAGAAAAUAACUUCCUACUCAUAGAUGCUCCUCAGAUUUACAAACAGCAGGAAGCCUCCACCUGUGAAUGAAACUCAUCAAUAAUAUAUGUUGAGAAGUGAGUCCUAGCCACUCACAUCUCAGAAUUAUAUCAAAUCCACUUGUCAGGCUUACCAUUGUGGCUUAAUUAUGGAAGCCACCAGGAACCCAUGACAUUCAUCCUUCACACAGUCACAUUCAAGAACACAUCCAUUCAUCUUACUCUUAAAUCAAUAAUUCAUCUUAUAAACUAUUAUUUCAAUGGUUAUUCUGCCACACAGCUUCCUCAGUCCUUCCUCUUCUCUCCCUAGUGCUGAGAAGAGUCAAUGUUCCUGGCCUCUGAUUACUGAGUCAUUUCACAUCUCUAAGACUCAUUUCGUGAGGUCAUUAAGGGACACUUAUUACUGAAGUGAUUAUGGGGCACAUGUGAAUUAUAAACUUGCAAAUUUCCAUUUUGUACAAAUUAGCUCUUCUGCAGAAAUUAAGGCAGAGUUGGUGCCUUUGAUUGAUGUUAAGUUUUCCUAAGAAUCUUCAGGACCUAUCUCAGCAGUGAUUCUGGUUUUUAAAACUAGAUUUUGGAAAUGUUGAGCCUUUAAGUACUUUUGAUACCCGUUUUCCUCUGAGAGUUAUUCAUGUGCCCUUAGAUUAAAACUAGACAAAAUAAAAUUAUUUAAGAGUAUAUUGACUUUUAAAAAUGUUUUAUUAAUAGAGUUUAUGAGGGUCUAUGGCAUUUCGGGUAGGUGAUCUAUAUCUGCCUAAAACAGUAGAUACGUACAAUUAUUUAUCUCCUUCCUGACUGAAAUAACUCAGUGAGCACAGAGUAAAGAAUAGUAGAGCUGUGAUAUCUUGAUAUUUCUUUAUAUCCACAAUGAAGGGUAAUUAUAAAUCAAGUCCUUUGUGAUGUCAACUUCACUCAGAACGUAUGUUUUAAGUCAAAUCCAUGUUUAAUUGUUUUCUUUAGGGAUCACUGCUUUCCUAAGCCAAUUCUCAGACAUUCACAAAAACAAGACCUUUAAUUUAUCAGAAAUAGCUCCAGGAGUCAAAUAGCUAUUGGCAAGAUGACAAAUAAAGACAUGGAUGGGAUUUCCUGAGCUCCCCUGAAUGUUGGUCUGUGAGUCUUUUCAGCUCCUUUCAGUUGCUGGAUGAAGCCUCUUUGAUGACAAUUUCUAGGCUCCUGUCUACGAGUAUGGCACACGAAUGGGAACAGAACACUGAAGGAAAUCUUGCAGCUGUUGCUCAUCCUCAUGAUGAGCCUGGAAGAGAAGGUGAUGUCAGCUGAAGUGUGCACAGCUGGAGACGCACUGUGCAUGCGCCUUUGAAAUAGUCGAAAUCAUCAUGAGCAUGACUGGAAGAAAAAGCUGGAUAAAAAAGAAUUUCAAUGAAGACCAUUGUGGACAGACUACUCCAACAUUGCUAGGCGGCACAGAAAUUUGAACCUGAGGGCAGGUCAGGAACCACUAGGUUAGAGAGGGGAAGGAGAGAGAACAGAGGGACUGCAAUGCUUUGCGUAUUUGGACAUUAAGGCAAUUUUGGAGAAGCUGACUUUCAGGAUAAUGGAGUCUAUUAAUGAAAGACAUGAAAUCCCGAAAAAAAAAAGUUCAAAAAUUUAUAUCUGCACUAGAAGUUCACUACAGCCUUGCUCUACUUUGGUUGCUUAGGUUGUGAUAAAAUAAAAUAAAAUAAAACAAACAAACAAACAAAAACAUACCUGAAAGUAAAAUGGGAAAGAAAGGGUUUAAUUGCCAUGGUACAUACCGUUCAUCAAGCAAAGCCAAGGUACUCUCAGAGGUUAGAAGACAACGUUGAAUGCCCUGAAGGUAGACUUAUAGGCACUUCUGAUGGAUCUGCCUGCUAUGACUGCUGAAAACUCUGGCCCUCUAAGAGCAGCAAGCACCCUUCACUAUGGAGGCAUGAAGUGGAAGUUACUGGUUGUGUCAUGUGACACAGUCUCACAUGAUGUUUUGCUGAUGUAAGACCAGUGAGAGGACAUGUGAUGUUUGGAGAGAGUAUAAAUAGGACCCAACAGAUAGUGACUUCAUGCUUGCAUUCCUUGCCAUAUUUUAUUGGUCAUUUUUCUUCCCUGAUCUUCACUUCCUUGAGAGAGGCACAAAAGAAAACUUCUCCUGGAGUCCCAGCUGGUUCUGGUCACUCCUGCUAACUCCUGAUUUGGCAGAGGCCUGGCUGUCUUUUCUGGAUCACGUCACUGCUGCUGAGUUUUUGGUACCUGACACUACUGAACUGGGCAGCUGGUAUCCCGAGGAAUGGAGAUUGGAAUCACCACAAAGAACUACUUCUAAACAGAAUGUUGAUGAAAUCAUUGAUAUAUUUGAUAUUGGGGAUAAUUGUUGAUAUCUGUGAUUUUCCCUUAAAAUACAUAUGCCAUUACCAGACUGCUUACAAUAUCAGUUCUCUGAAGAAGACAGGAGGACUGAAGCUAGUUCAAGGUUCAUGAUUUCACUCCAGUAGAUUCUGCCAGUUGAAGUCAAGUCUUGAUAGAUUUCCACUACUGUUUCUGCCCUGAAUGAAGUUAAGAGCUUGUUGAAAGUAGAUAUGAGUUUAAAACACGUAUCACAACAAUGGCAUUUCUAUUCCAGUUCUCCAUUGUGUAUGUUCAAGUGGUCCUUGCUGUUUAAACUGAAAGUGUAGAACAUCAGACUCUCAGCCAUGGUCACAAUUACUGCCAAAGUGGCUUUGAGGCUUCUGCAUAAAUAGUAGCCCAGGCCGGACAAAGGAAACUGGUGUCAACGAGUUUUAUUCCUUAUGGAGACUGUCUGGAUGCCCCAGAAGGACAUCCCAGGAUGAUUUUUUUCCCUCACUUUUUUUUUUUUUUUCCACUCAGUAGUCUCACGGUUGGCACUGAAGGCCUUGCCUUGACUAGCUCCCGCCUUUGGUCUCAAAGCUACUACUUUUAACAAAAUGUCAAGAGUCUGGCUUCCUGGCCAGCCCUAAAUACCCACCCCCAAUUUUCCCAUGGUGCCUGGAGGCAGUCCCUGAGGUAUCUUCAGACUCUCCACUGCAGAUUUAGGAAGGGGAAGGCAGUGGGGUACAGUGUGAGCCAGUCCAAUGGCUCAAGUCCCUUGGGCUUAAACCAGCUCUUUGGUUCUAACCCCAGGGCACAUUGCAGAAGACCUGGGUCCCCAGAGCGGCUCCAUUUCCGGAGACCCCACACCUCAGCCCAGUUCUCUGGUUGCCUCCAAUUGUACAGACCUAAAGGAAAGGCUACCAUUCUGUUUCUUGUCAAUCAAUUUUUAUCUUGUAAAAUAUUUUGUAGACUUUGGUUGCACAAAUAAAUGUUGUAUGAAAAUUUUAUUAGCAUAUUUUAAAGAACUUUAGCCACUAGAGGCUAAUAUUUUCACAAAUUUCUUCCAUAAAUGUAUUAGUUAUUUUUUAUUAUCUAAUUUUUCAAGUGACCUUUUAAGUAAUGGUCUGAAAAGAUAUAGUGGGAUGUAAUAUUAAAAUUAAUUUUGGGAAUUUUAUUGUUUAUAUGUGUGAAAAGAGAAUAAAGUCAAAUUAAAACCAAC